UAAUUUUUCACAAUUUUUUUUUUAUAUUUGUUUAUUUUCUCUCAAUCCAACUGUUCAUUCAUUUAUUGAACGUAAUAAGUAACUUUGUAACAAUAAACAAUAAAAAAAAUAUUAGAAUUUGAUGUACUGGGUAGCAAGGCUAGCGACUCUUUUUUCGGUCAAAUCAGUCCGACUUGGUGGCGACUGGUAGGCGAUAUCCUUCCUCUCCUACAGGAGUUCACUGGCUUCGGGUUCCGUAGGAACUUUGAAGUUAAGCGAGAAAGGGGCCAGAGCAUUCUUAGGAUGGGUGACCCACCGAGAAGUUCUGCUCGCAUGAGUUUCCAGAAACAAAACCGCGAGGGCGUGGUCGAGACCCAAAGCGGACAAUAUCGUGCUACGGUGAAGUCGAACCUGGGAUGUGGUGAGGACCCGGACCGGGAUGUGACAUGAGUUCCAACUUGACACAUGGUGAGAUUAGUCACCUACUAUAAAUUAUAUUCUUCUAGUAAAAGAACGAAAAUUUUACAACAAUUCUAGUCGAGAGCUUGUAUAUUUUCAACAUAACUUGUUACUUCUAUUGAUGAAAUUUAAUAUUUUUUGAGUAAAUAUAUGAAAAAUCCAUCCUCUGUGAUUAGAUAAUUGAA